CAGUAGCCACGGGAAUACAGAGGGUGCGAGCGUUAAUCGGAUUUACUGGGCGUAAAGCGUGCGUAGGCGGCUUCUUAAGUCGGAUGUGAAAUCCCUGAGCUUAACUUAGGAAUUGCAUUCGAUACUGGGAAGCUAGAGUAUGGGAGAGGAUGGUAGAAUUCCAGGUGUAGCGGUGAAAUGCGUAGAGAUCUGGAGGAAUACCGAUGGCGAAGGCAGCCAUCUGGCCUAAUACUGACGCUGAGUUACGAAAGCAUGGGGAGCAAACAGGAUUAGAUACCCCAGUAGUCCCUGUCUCUUAUAA
rnacentral:rRNA from 1 species